rnacentral:lncRNA from 1 species
GAUCUCCAAGAGACAAAGUAUCAAAAGAAAAGGAGAGAACUGUGGGGGAUACCUUUGGUUAAGAGAAGAGCAUUGAUCAUCAAAAAAAUAAGAAACAAAGAAGUAAUCAGUCAGGUGGAAGGACACCACAAUGUCAGAAAAAGCUGAAGGAGGAGAGAACUGUCUGGAAGAACACUGUGUUCCAGAACACUGGAAGAACUGUGUUUCAUAAGUAAACAAUGUCAAAAGCUGGAGAGAGAAACCAGAAGGAUGAGUGAGGACUGAGAAUAAAUUACUGUUUUAGCAAUUAACAUAUUCUUGAUAGUCUUGAAGAUGGGAGUUUCAGCCAAGUGAUAAGGCUUGGCACCUGAAAUCCAGAAUCAUGACAAGGAAUUAUUGAACUUAAAGUAGAGACUUGAAAGAUCCCUCUGGGGCAAGCACAGAAGACACUUUCAGUUGUGGGAAGGCCACUAUGUGGCACAAAUGUACACAGGCAUGUGGUGCUAAAGGAUAUUGAUGAAAUAAGUGCCUUUCCAAGAAUGACAGUCCUGGGGAAAAAAUGGAGAAAGCCUACAGAGAGCUCUCUGGAGAUGUCAACA